rnacentral:rRNA from 1 species
GAUGAACGCUGGCGGCGUGCUUAACACAUGCAAGUCGAACGAGAAUCAACGGAUUGAGGAUUCGUCCAAAUGAAGUUGAGGAAAGUGGCGGACGGGUGAGUAACGCGUGAGGAACCUGCCUCGGAGUGGGGAAUAACAGUUGGAAACAGCUGCUAAUACCGCAUAAUGCAACGGAAUCGCAUGACUCUGUUGCCAAAGAUUUAUCGCUCUGAGAUGGCCUCGCGUCUGAUUAGCUAGUUGGCGGGGUAACGGCCCACCAAGGCGACGAUCAGUAGCCGGCCUGAGAGGGUGAACGGCCACAUUGGGACUGAGACACGGCCCAA